rnacentral:miRNA from 1 species
GGGCUUCGGACUCUUCGACUA